rnacentral:rRNA from 1 species
GACGAACGCUGGCGGCGUGCCUAAUACAUGCAAGUUGAGCGCUGAAGGUUGGUACUUGUACCAACUGGAUGAGCAGCGAACGGGUGAGUAACGCGUGGGGAAUCUGCCUUUGAGCGGGGGACAACAUUUGGAAACGAAUGCUAAUACCGCAUAAAAACUUUAAACACAAGUUUUAAGUUUGAAAGAUGCAAUUGCAUCACUCAAAGAUGAUCCCGCGUUGUAUUAGCUAGUUGGUGAGGUAAAGGCUCACCAAGGCGAUGAUACAUAGCCGACCUGAGAGGGUGAUCGGCCACAUUGGGACUGAGACACGGCCCAAACUCCUACGGGAGGCAGCAGUAGGGAAUCUUCGGCAAUGGACGAAAGUCUGACCGAGCAACGCCGCGUGAGUGAAGAAGGUUUUCGGAUCGUAAAACUCGGUUGGUAGAGAAGAACGUUGGUGAGAGUGGAAAGCUCAUCAAGUGACGGUAACUACCCAGAAAGGGACGGCUAACUACGUG